AGAGUUUGAUCCUGGCUCAGGACGAACGCUGGCGGCGUGCCUAAACACAUGCAAGUCGCACGGGACUGGGGGCAACUCCAGUUCAGUGGCAGAUGGGUGCGUAACACGUGAGGAACUUGUCCGACGGCGGGGGAUAGCCGGCCCAACGGCCGGGUAAUACCGCGUACGCUCAUUUGGGGACAUCCCUGGGUGAGGAAAGCAGCCGCAAGGUUGCGCCGAUGGAGAGCCUCGCGGCGUAUCAGCUAGUUGGCGGGGUAACGGCCCACCAAGGCUACGACGCGUAGCUGGUCUGAGAGGAUGGCCAGCCACAUUGGGACUGAGACACGGCCCAGACUCCUACGGGAGGCAGCAGUGGGGAAUAUUGCGCAAUGGCCGAAAGGCUGACGCAGCGACGCCGCGUGUGGGAUGACGGCCCUCGGGUUGUAAACCACUGUCGGGGGGGACGAAUACAGGGCCUCGAAUAGAGGACCCUGGGUGACGGUACCUCCAAAGGAAGCACCGGCUAACUCCGUGCCAGCAGCCGCGGUAAUACGGAGGGUGCGAGCGUUGUCCGGAAUCACUGGGCGUAAAGGGCGCGUAGGCGGUUCGUUAAGUUGCUGGUGAAAUCCCGGGGCUCAACUCCGGGGCUGCCGGCAAGACUGGCGGGCUAGAGCACGGUAGAGGCGGAUGGAAUUCCCGGUGUAGCGGUGGAAUGCGUAGAUAUCGGGAAGAAUACCGGUGGCGAAGGCGUUCCGCUGGGCCGUUGCUGACGCUGAGGCGCGACAGCGUGGGGAGCAAACAGGAUUAGAUACCCCAGUAGUCC
rnacentral:rRNA from 1 species